rnacentral:rRNA from 1 species
CCUACGGGCGGCAGCAGUGGGGAAUAUUGCACAAUGGGGGAAACCCUGAUGCAGCGACGCCGCGUGAGUGAUGAAGGAUUUCGGUAUGUAAAGCUCUAUCAGCAGGGAAGAAAAUGUCGGUACCUGAUUAAGAAGCCCCGGCUAACUACGUGCCAGCAGCCGCGGUUAUACGUAGGGGGCAAGCGUUAUACGGAUUUACUGGGUGUUAAGGGAGCGUAGACGGCAGCACAAGUCUGUAGUGACAUGCCGGGGCUUAACCCAGGAACUGCUGUGGAAACUGUGCAGCGAGAGUGCAGUAGAGGUAAGUGGAAUGCCUGGUGUAGCGGUGAAAUGCGUAGAUAUUAGGAGGAACACCAGUGGCGAAGGCGGCUUACUGGACUUUAACUGACGUUGAGGCUCGAAAGCGUGGGGAGCAAACAGGAUUAGAUACCCGAGUAGUC